rnacentral:sRNA from 1 species
UUUUUUGGAACUCAGGUUAAGAGCGCCACUUCCUGCGGCAACACCUGAGUGACCAACUUCCUGUUGG